rnacentral:rRNA from 1 species
GACGAACGCUGGCGGCGCGCUUAACACAUGCAAGUCGAGCGAGAACCAGGCCUUCGGGCCUGGGGACAGCGGCGAACGGGUGAGUAACACGUGGGUAAUCAACCCUCGGUACUGGGAUAGCCCGGGGAAACCCGGAUUAAUACCGGAUGGCCCUUCGGAGCUUCGGUUCCGAAGGAAAAGGUAGCUUCGGCCUCCGACCGAGGACGAGCCCGCGGCGGAUUAGCUUGUUGGUGGGGUAACGGCCUACCAAGGCGGCGAUCCGUAGCGGGUCUGAGAGGACGAUCAGCCACACUGGGACUGAGACACGGCACAGACUCCUACGGGAGGCGGCAGUGGGGAAUAUUGGACAAUGGGGGAAACCCUGAUCCAGCGACGCCGCGUGGGUGAAGAAGGCCUGCGGGUUGUAAAGCCCUUUCGGUAGGGAAGAAAUCUCUUGUCUUAACACGGCAAGGGUUUGACUUAACCUACAUAAGAAGCACCGGCUAACUCUGUGCCAGCCGCCGCCGUAAGAC